GCCGAAGUGGUGGAACUGGUAGACACGCUAGGUUCAGGGUCUAGUAGGGUCACACCUGUGGGGGUUCAAAUCCCCCCUUCGGCACCA
rnacentral:tRNA from 1 species